GGAACUCAAUGGCAACAACAUCACUCGGAUCCACAAGAAUGACUUUGCGGGGCUCAAGCAGCUGCGGGUGCUGCAGCUGAUGGAGAACCAGAUUGGAGUGGUGGAACGGGGUGCUUUCGACGACAUGAAGGAGCUGGAGAGGCUGCGGCUGAACCGGAACCAGCUGCACACGCUUCCGGAGCUGCUGUUCCAGAACAACCAGGCUCUGUCGAGAUUGUGAGU